AGAGUUUGAUCCUGGCUCAGAACGAACGCUGGCGGCAGGCCUAACACAUGCAAGUCGAGCGCACCCUUCGGGGCGAGCGGCGGACGGGUUAGUAACGCGUGGGAAUAUACCCUUCACUACGGAAUAGCCUCGGGAAACUGAGAGUAAUACCGUAUACGCCCUUCGGGGGAAAGAUUUAUCGGUGAUGGAUUAGCCCGCGUCUGAUUAGAUAGUUGGUGGGGUAAUGGCCUACCAAGUCUACGAUCAGUAGCUGGUUUUAGAGGAUGAUCAGCAACACUGGGACUGAGACACGACCCAGACUCCUACGGGAGGCAGCAGUGGGGAAUCUUAGACAAUGGGCGAAAGCCUGAUCUAGCCAUGCCGCGUGUGUGAUGAAGGCCUUAGGGUCGUAAAGCACUUUCGCCAGGGAUGAUAAUGACAGUACCUGGUAAAGAAACCCCGGCUAACUCCGUGCCAGCAGCCGCGGUAAUACGGAGGGGGUUAGCGUUGUUCGGAAUUACUGGGCGUAAAGCGCACGUAGGCGGAUCAGAAAGUUGGGGGUGAAAUCCCAGGGCUCAACCCUGGAACUGCCCUCAAAACUCCUGGUCUUGAGUUCGAGAGAGGUGAGUGGAAUUCCAAGUGUAGAGGUGAAAUUCGUAGAUAUUUGGAGGAACACCAGUGGCGAAGGCGGCUCACUGGCUCGAUACUGACGCUGAGGUGCGAAAGUGUGGGGAGCAAACAGGAUUAGAUACCCUGGUAGUCCACACCGUAAACGAUGAAUGCCAGACGUCGGGCAGUAUACUGUUCGGUGUCACACCUAACGGAUUAAGCAUUCCGCCUGGGGAGUACGGUCGCAAGAUUAAAACUCAAAGGAAAUGACGGGGGCCCGCACAAGCGGUGGAGCAUGUGGUUUAAUUCGAAGCAACGCGCAGAACCUUACCAACCCUUGACAUCCUAGGACAACUCCAGAGAUGGAGCCUUCCUUAGGGACCUAGUGACAGGUGCUGCAUGGCUGUCGUCAGCUCGUGUCGUGAGAUGUUCGGUUAAGUCCGGCAACGAGCGCAACCCACAUCUUUAGUUGCCAGCAGGUUAAGCUGGGCACUCUAAAGAAACUGCCCGUGAUAAGCGGGAGGAAGGUGUGGAUGACGUCAAGUCCUCAUGGCCCUUACGGGUUGGGCUACACACGUGCUACAAUGGUGGUGACAAUGGGUUAAUCCCAAAAAACCAUCUCAGUUCGGAUUGGGGUCUGCAACUCGACCCCAUGAAGUCGGAAUCGCUAGUGAUCGCGUAACAGCAUGACGCGGUGAAUACGUUCCCGGGCCUUGUACACACCGCCCGUCACACCAUGGGAGUUGGGUUUACCCGAAGGCCGUGCGCCAACCUUUCGAGGGGGCAGCGGACCACGGUGAGCUCAGCGACUGGGGUGAAGUCGUAACAAGGUA
rnacentral:rRNA from 1 species